rnacentral:pre_miRNA from 1 species
CUGUGCUUUCAGCUUCUUUACAGUGCUGCCUUGUUGCGUUCAUGUCAAGCAGCAUUGUACAGGGCUAUGAAAGAGCAG